ensembl:lncRNA
GCCUUACAAGAAAGACAUGGCCUGAAGUUUAAGACCUGAGGUGAUGAGAAGGAGAGUAUUUCUGAACUAGUGUGUGGAGAUAAUCUGGUGCUGAGCCAACCCUUUGAGGCCUGGAAUACAAGGACAAAAGUUUUGAAUUUGAUUCCCACUGCAACAGGAACCCUGUUUAGUGAUCUCGAGUACAACACCAGCUGCAGAGGACAUUCAAGGCCAACAAGUCUCUAUCCUCUCAGACACAGAUGUACAGGAGAUCAGAGACAGCAAGGAAGAGACGGACUCUUCUGCCCCCACCAUCUGCCCCCAAUAAUUUAGCAAGUCUUACGAGAGGAAAAA